CCCACACAUACUUUUGCCACAGUAAAAACACACAGCAAUGUGGCUUUCUCCUUCCACACACAAUAGCCUAGCUACACACCACCCGUGCAUGUCCGACCUACAGUUUUCCCCAAGGCGGCAACUUGAUCUAGAGAGAUCACCCAACAUAUAAAAUUGCUCUCCUGUUGAUGUGCCUUUAUGUUUGUUUUCGUUUUCCUUUGCAUGGCAUGUAGGGAUGGAACGACUGUGUACCAGAUGCACCUCUGCAUAACACAACACAACAUAACACAUACCAACCUAGCUAGUUUAUCAUAAGUUAGCCCACAUACUAUGACAUGCGUAGUUAUUUGUAACUUACUUACUGCUUCUGCCUCUUAACAAAAAAUGUGCCUGUAACUGAAGCCGCAUCUAUGUCAAGUGAUGUACCUUUG